UGCUUGCCCGGGGAUUACUGGCGAACGGGUGAGUAACACGUGAGUAACCUGCCCUUGACUCUGGGAUAAGCCUGGGAAACUGGGUCUAAUACCGGAUAUGACUCCUCAUCGCAUGGUGGGGGGUGGAAAGCUUUUGUGGUUUUGGAUGGACUCGCGGCCUAUCAGCUUGUUGGUGAGGUAAUGGCUCACCAAGGCGACGACGGGUAGCCGGCCUGAGAGGGUGACCGGCCACACUGGGACUGAGACACGGCCCAGACUCCUACGGGAGGCAGCAGUGGGGAAUAUUGCACAAUGGGCGCAAGCCUGAUGCAGCGACGCCGCGUGAGGGAUGACGGCCUUCGGGUUGUAAACCUCUUUCAGUAGGGAAGAAGCGAAAGUGACGGUACCUGCAGAAGAAGCGCCGGCUAACUACGUGCCAGCAGCCGCGGUAAUACGUAGGGCGCAAGCGUUAUCCGGAAUUAUUGGGCGUAAAGAGCUCGUAGGCGGUUUGUCGCGUCUGCCGUGAAAGUCCGGGGCUCAAC
rnacentral:rRNA from 2 species